CGCAUCUGUGCAUGCAGCAUAUCAAUAAGCGGAGGAAAAGAAACUAACAAGGAUUCCCCUAGUAACGGCGAGUGAAGCGGGAAGAGCUCAAAUUUGAAAUCUUAAAGGGUUUCCCUCUACGAAUUGUAGUUUAAAGAAGUGUUUUCUGUUGAGGUUUUGGUAAAAGUUCUUUGGAAUAGGACAUCAUAGAGGGUGAGAAUCCCGUAUUUGACCUUUACUUUCAACUUUGUGAUACACUUUCAAAGAGUCGGAUUGUUUGGGAAUGCAGUCCAAAAUGGGUGGUAAAUUUCAUCUAAAGCUAAAUAUUGGCGAGAGACCGAUAGCGAACAAGUACCGUGAGGGAAAGAUGAAAAGAACUUUGAAAAGAGAGUUGAACAGUACGUGAAAUUGUCAAAAGGGAAGCGUUUGACACCAGUGUUGUUUUUCUGAAAAUCAAUUAACGAAUGUUUUAUUUUGAGAAGUUAUGACUUCAUCAGCUUAACUGCUCUCUUACGAAACUUUCUUAAUGCACUUUUCGGUUAACAAGUCAACAUCAAUUUCUUUUGUUGUAAAAGGGUAUGAGGAAGGUGGCUUUCUUUUCGGAGAAAGUGUUUAUAGCCUUGUACCUCUGCAAUCGGAGAGAUUGAGGUCUGCAGCGUAGAUCCUUCGGGGUUAGAUACGUUUGUGCUAAGUUAUAGCUUUUCAUAGACAACUUGUUGACUAUGUUUAGUCUUGUAGCUUACUCGCUGACGCUAUUUUACCUACGCUUAGGAUGUUGACACACGCGCGUGCUCG
rnacentral:rRNA from 1 species